rnacentral:rRNA from 1 species
AUUGAACGCUGGCGGCAGGCCUAACACAUGCAAGUCGAGCGGAUGAAGGGAGCUUGCUCCUGGAUUCAGCGGCGGACGGGUGAGUAAUGCCUAGGAAUCUGCCUGGUAGUGGGGGAUAACGUCCGGAAACGGGCGCUAAUACCGCAUACGUCCUGAGGGAGAAAGUGGGGGAUCUUCGGACCUCACGCUAUCAGAUGAGCCCAGGUCGGAUUAGCUAGUUGGUGGGGUAAAGGCCUACCAAGGCGACGAUCCGUAACUGGUCUGAGAGGAUGAUCAGUCACACUGGAACUGAGACACGGUCCAGACUCCUACGGGAGGCAGCAGUGGGGAAUAUUGGACAGUGGGCGAAAGCCUGAUCCAGCCAUGCCGCGUGUGUGAAGAAGGUCUUCGGAUUGUAAAGCACUUUAAGUUGGGAGGAAGGGCAGUAAGUUAAUACCUUGCUGUUUUGACGUUACCAACAGAAUAAGCACCGGCUAACUUCGUG